UGCGCGGUGUGCGGAGGGCCGCGCUUGCUCCCGGCUGCCAGUCAUCACAGUGGGAGCCCUGAGCCACGCUGUGGCACCACUUUGGCACCCAGCAUGUGCUCAGUAGGCCACGUGGAUGGCACCCGCAGCGUGUCCCUGAACUGUGCUCCACAAAACUGUUCCGAAGUUACAACAGCCUUGCCUUUCCUGUUGGAAACAAUAAAGGUUCUGGCCUGUGCCUUCCCUUCGCUGCUUCUGCCUCCUGACCCAAACUGGCGCUACCCCAUGUGGACUUUGCGGCAUGACGUGCUCCCUUGUUUUGUGAAAUAAACUACUCAUGGAUAUCCUAGGCUGAAUUCAGGAGAAAAUCAUGGAUUGCCAGAACUUGCAAGUUAAUAUGAUCCAGACUUACAGGAUUUUCAUUCUAUUGUACCAAAAUUGUUUCUAUUCAGUAAGGCCAAUAUGGGACAUUCAAUGAAGAUAAUGCUAUACCAUACUGGUUGCAAAGUUAUAAACAUUUUUUAAGGAUUUUUUUAAAUUUUGGAGGGUGCCUGGGUGGCUC